rnacentral:misc_RNA from 1 species
GUGAAUCAUCGAAUUCUUGAACGCAAAUUGCACUCUCUUCGGAGAGUAUGCCUGUUUGAGGGUCAGCCUAAAAAAAAUCGACAUAGUUGGUUUUUCGCGGUGGCAUUCGUUCGAAAUUGGGUCAACUUUAACCUUUGGGUUUUUAGCGGCCUAAAAUUUUCUUUACGAUUCCACGAAAGUUUCUAAGAUUUACUUCUUAUUCGGUUAAGGUAAUGAACUUUAUUAGACGUUGGCGUUGCAUU